AGAGAGGGAGAACAGGAAAGAAAAGGAGAGGGAGACAGGAGAGAAGAUAGGAGAACUGUGAGAUCUCUCCUUCAUUCAACUACGGGACUAUUGGAGAGAUUAUCUUAAACAAGUUGCAUUACAUAUUUAAUCACAGAGGGUUAGUUUAACUAGGAUGCUUGUGUCUUGUCAAAUGGCUCCACUAUGUUUCAUUUUUCUCUUUAUUACAGAUUCUAGAGUCGGCAAUGUCUAUAAACCCAGCAAGGUUGAAUUCCUAGGGAGCUCCUGAGUUGUGGUUUGCUUGAAACCAUGUGAAAUGUGUGCAUUUUUCUGAGAGUCCAUAAUGCUAAUUUGAUGUUCAAAAGGAUACAUGAUCCUGAAAAGACUGAGGACAGUUCAUCUAAAUCAGGAAAGCACCUAUACCACAGGGGAAGUGCAUGAUAUUCAGUGAAGAAAGGAAUUGAAGCUGGAAAGCUGAUGGACUAAAGCUUCAAUUUUGGCUGCAGGUGGAUGUGGGAAUUUACAGACAUCACAGCCUUCCCAUGAAUCAGAAGGAGAGGAGGGGAGCAGAGAUGAAAGGCAAGAGGCUAGACUGAAAGAGCAGAAGAAUUGAGGGCACAAAAUUUGUGUUCUGGUCGGGGCUCUAACCAUUUCCUGGAUGAACGACUUGAGACUCAUUUUUCUCACCUGAGUAACAAGCUUACUAACAAGAGCAUCUUUUCAGUGCUUUAAUGAAGAUAAAUUGAGAUAAUAUAAGAGAAUGUGCUUCAUUAGUUGAAGUAAUACAAAAAUGUUGAUUAGUCACAUAGAACGCAGUUGUGGUUUUGAAACAUCGAGACUGCAGAAUGGCGAUGGGAUGAGUCUGCCUGGAUGUCGGAGUUUUACUCGCCUUCUCCUUCAACUCGGUGUCUCAACUUCCUCAUCUCUAAAACUGGGAUAACAAUAUUUACUUCUCCAGGUUGUGUUAAGAAUUAAAAUUGAUAUUCUUGUAAAGUAUUCAGAAAAGUGUCUGUCCCAGGGGUGCCUGGGUGGUGAAGUCCUGUUAAACAUCCGACUCUUUGUCUCAGCUCCCUAACGAUCUCACGGUUGUUUGCAGAGAAACAGACCUCAAGACAGGAGUAGGAAAGAUUUAUUGAGAGAAGAAGCUAGAGAAGCUGGGGAGAAAGCUUCAGACUGAAAGGAAGAUCUGACCACUGUGGAAAAAGAGAGAAAAGGAAGGAGGACUGGGUAAGUUUUUUUUCACAGGUUGGUUUAUGGAUUAAAUUAAGUGUGAUAACAUAUGUGAACCAUUUAACAGCUCCUUGGUACUAAAUGAAUACUCCAUAAACAUGGGUCUCAUUCUUAAGCUCCAUUUUUAAAAAUCAUUGCAAGGAGAACCAUAGAUACCUGUUGCAAUUUAUCUGCCCUGUGCAUUGUUCUUGGUAACAGAACUCUUACUGUUACAAUGGAAAAUUGAUGUCAGGCUGGUGGUUCGGCUUCCUUGAGAACUUAGCAAACAAUGUUUACACAGCCUCAACGCUAGAAAAGUUUGUAGAUAAAUCCACAUGACAGAGAAAGACGUUAAAAACCAACAUUCCUCCUCAUAUGAUUGCUCAAAUUAAAAAAUCAUUCCUUUUAUUUUAGAAAUCUUUCAUUUGGAGGCAUUUGCACUUUUCAAGAAAUAUGUUAUUUGCAAAUACUUUUCAAUAGAGCAUUUGGAAUAAAUGGUAUAACUCACAGUCAACUAUUAUCCAACCAAUUCUAAUUUGCACUUGAUUGAAAAGUUGAAAUAUUUUAAAAUAAGAUAAAGAACUGCAUCUAUACACACAACCUGGC